GUUACCUUCGGGUAAUGAGGAUGGCGGACGGGUGAGUAACGCGUAAGGAACUUGCCUCUUGGACUGGGACAACUGUUGGAAACGACAGCUAAUACCGGAUAUUAUGAGAUUCUCGCAUGAGAAACUUAUGAAAGCUAUAUGCGCCAAGAGAGAGCCUUGCGUUCCAUUAGCUAGUUGGUGGGGUAACGGCCCACCAAGGCGACGAUGGAUAGCCGGCCUGAGAGGGUGAACGGCCACAAGGGGACUGAGACACGGCCCUUACUCCUACGGGAGGCAGCAGUGGGGAAUAUUGGACAAUGGGCCACAAGCCUGAUCCAGCAAUUCUGUGUGCACGAUGAAGGUCUUCGGAUUGUAAAGUGCUUUCAGUUGGGAAGAAGAAAGUGACGGUACCAACAGAAGAAGCGACGGCUAAAUACGUGCCAGCAGCCGCGGUAAUACGUAUGUCGCAAGCGUUAUCCGGAUUUAUUGGGCGUAAAGCGCGUCUAGGCGGAAAAAUAAGUCUGAUGUUAAAAUGCGGGGCUCAACUCCGUAUUGCGUUGGAAACUGUUUUUCUAGAGUACUGGAGAGGUGGGCGGAACUACAAGUGUAGAGGUGAAAUUCGUAGAUAUUUGUAGGAAUGCCGAUGGAGAAGUCAGCUCACUGGACAGAUACUGACGCUGAAGCGCGAAAGCGUGGGGAGCAAACAGG
rnacentral:rRNA from 1 species